ensembl:lincRNA Gm28981 predicted gene 28981
CUCUGAAGCUUCCAGUCCUUGGUGCUUUAUCUCUCCGUAAUGAAUGCAGGAAAAUAUGAUUAUGAAGAUCUAACUAUAUGUCCUAUUGAAGGAAAAUUGUCAUUUCCCCUGGGCAAAGGUGAAGGAUCAAGUUGCACCCGAGUAUCUACUCGCCCCUCUGACUUGGUGAUCAGUGUAUACUGCUCAGGGAUUAGAACGUUACUCACAUCAUGGCUACUUUCCUGUGUUUCUGAACUCAGAGGAAGACACAUGCAACGGAGAAGAAGCACAUAUCCACAUUAGAAGAUUCAUAUGUAAAUCUCAAGAAAGAGGAUGAAAGACACGGGAAUGACUUGGUCUGGGGAAGAAAAUUAAAGCCUUGAAGUCUACCAAAGAACCAAACAGGAAAACAGCAAUAGCUAAAAGACAGGGUUUCUUACUAGGAUAUCAGAAGGAAAAAUUUCCUUCCAAGUUAAUUCAGCUGGGUAGAUCAAACACUGUUGUCUUUAGGAGAUAUGGCAAAGGUGAGCAGCAUCUGGGUGGAUAAGAGGUCUUCUCUUGACUAUCCAAACUUACUGUAGGGGAGAUGAAAAUAAAUCCAAUAUUAAGGUUAGUCACAUGAGCUUCUUUUAUAGGCAUACCAUAGGAGAGAGAUUUGUACUGCUGCUCAGCUCCAAGGCUAGUGAAGGGCUUGAAAUUAAUUUCAAGGUAUCUGUUUUGGUGGUAAAGGAAGAUUUUGUUGAGGGUUAAGGACUAGGCCAUAUUCACUGUCACUCCUUUGAAUCAUCGAUCUAUGACGGGUAGGAAAAUCAAGUAACGAGAAACAUCAUGGCAAGACACACCUUAUGUUCUUCACUAUUCACUAAGUGUCACAAAGCUCACCAUUUCCCUCCAGUUCUCCCACUAGGGAUUUAUACACAUUAAAUGUACAUCUUCUUUGCUUUUCUUUUUAUCGAAAAUAGAUUUUUUCUCACAUAAUGGAUCCUGAUUAUAGUUCCCGUCCCUCUACUCCCCCCAGUUCCACCUCCCUUGCCCUCCCAUCUGGUUCACCCCCCUUUCUGUCUCUCACUAGAAAACAAACAGAUUUCUAAGGGGGUAAUAACAGAAUAAGAUAUAAUGAGAUAAAAACAAAAACUAACACACUGGAAAAGCACAAAACAAGCAAGCACAAGUAAAAGAGCCCAAGAGAAGGCACAAGAAUCAGAGACCCACUUUUUCUCCCAUUCAAGCAUCACACAAAAGCCCUAAACUGAAAGUUAUAAUAUGUACCCAGAGAACCAAAGAGAAAAAAAUACAAAUAACAUUUU